rnacentral:rRNA from 1 species
UACGAAGGGGGCUAGCGUUGUUCGGAAUUACUGGGCGUAAAGCGCACGUAGGCGGAUAUUUAAGUCAGGGGUAGAAAUCCCAGAGCUCAACUCUGGAACUGCCUUUGAUACUGGGUAUCUUGAGUAUGGAAGAGGUGAGUGGAAUUCCGAGUGUAGAGGUGAAAUUCGUAGAUAUUCGGAGGAACACCAGUGGCGAAGGCGGCUCACUGGUCCAUUACUGACGCUGAGGUGCGAAAGCGUGGGGAGCAAACAGG